AAAUUGAAGAGUUUGAUCAUGGCUCAGAUUGAACGCUGGCGGCAGGCCUAACACAUGCAAGUCGAGCGGUAGCACAGAGAGCUUGCUCUCGGGUGACGAGCGGCGGACGGGUGAGUAAUGUCUGGGAAACUGCCUGAUGGAGGGGGAUAACUACUGGAAACGGUAGCUAAUACCGCAUAACGUCGCAAGACCAAAGUGGGGGACCUUCGGGCCUCAUGCCAUCAGAUGUGCCCAGAUGGGAUUAGCUAGUAGGUGGGGUAAUGGCUCACCUAGGCGACGAUCCCUAGCUGGUCUGAGAGGAUGACCAGCCACACUGGAACUGAGACACGGUCCAGACUCCUACGGGAGGCAGCAGUGGGGAAUAUUGCACAAUGGGCGCAAGCCUGAUGCAGCCAUGCCGCGUGUAUGAAGAAGGCCUUCGGGUUGUAAAGUACUUUCAGCGAGGAGGAAGGCAUUAAGGUUAAUAACCUUGGUGAUUGACGUUACUCGCAGAAGAAGCACCGGCUAACUCCGUGCCAGCAGCCGCGGUAAUACGGAGGGUGCAAGCGUUAAUCGGAAUUACUGGGCGUAAAGCGCACGCAGGCGGUCUGUCAAGUCGGAUGUGAAAUCCCCGGGCUCAACCUGGGAACUGCAUUCGAAACUGGCAGGCUAGAGUCUUGUAGAGGGGGUAGAAUUCGGUGUAGCGGUGAAAUGCGUAGAGAUCUGGAGGAAUACCGGUGGCGAAGGCGGCCCCCUGGACAAAGACUGACGCUCAGGUGCGAAAGCGUGGGGAGCAAACAGGAUUAGAUACCCUGGUAGUCCACGCCGUAAACGAUGUCGACUUGGAGGUUGUGCCCUUGAGGCGUGGCUUCCGGAGCUAACGCGUUAAGUCGACCGCCUGGGGAGUACGGCCGCAAGGUUAAAACUCAAAUGAAUUGACGGGGGCCCGCACAAGCGGUGGAGCAUGUGGUUUAAUUCGAUGCAACGCGAAGAACCUUACCUACUCUUGACAUCCAGAGAACUUAGCAGAGAUGCUUUGGUGCCUUCGGGAACUCUGAGACAGGUGCUGCAUGGCUGUCGUCAGCUCGUGUUGUGAAAUGUUGGGUUAAGUCCCGCAACGAGCGCAACCCUUAUCCUUUGUUGCCAGCGGUUAGGCCGGGAACUCAAAGGAGACUGCCAGUGAUAAACUGGAGGAAGGUGGGGAUGACGUCAAGUCAUCAUGGCCCUUACGAGUAGGGCUACACACGUGCUACAAUGGCAUAUACAAAGAGAAGCGACCUCGCGAGAGCAAGCGGACCUCAUAAAGUAUGUCGUAGUCCGGAUUGGAGUCUGCAACUCGACUCCAUGAAGUCGGAAUCGCUAGUAAUCGUAGAUCAGAAUGCUACGGUGAAUACGUUCCCGGGCCUUGUACACACCGCCCGUCACACCAUGGGAGUGGGUUGCAAAAGAAGUAGGUAGCUUAACCUUCGGGAGGGCGCUUACCACUUUGUGAUUCAUGACUGGGGUGAAGUCGUAACAAGGUAACCGUAGGGGAACCUGCGGUUGGAUCACCUCCUUACCUUAAAGAA
rnacentral:rRNA from 1 species